CGGGUGAGUAACGCGUGAGGAACCUGCCUCAAAGAGGGGGACAACAGUUGGAAACGACUGCUAAUACCGCAUAAGCCCACGGCUCGGCAUCGAGCAGAGGGAAAAGGAGCAAUCCGCUUUGAGAUGGCCUCGCGUCCGGUUAGCUAGUUGGUGAGGUAAUGGCCCACCAAGGCGACGAUCGGUAGCCGGACUGAGAGGUUGAACGGCCACAUUGGGACUGAGACACGGCCCAG
rnacentral:rRNA from 1 species